rnacentral:rRNA from 1 species
UACGAAGGGGGCUAGCGUUGCUCGGAAUCACUGGGCGUAAAGGGUGCGUAGGCGGGUUACGUUUAGUCAGGGGUGAAAUCCUGGAGCUCAACUCCAGAACUGCCUUUGAUACUGAAGAUCUUCGAGUUCGGGAGAGGUGAGUGGAACUGCGAGUGUAGAGGUGAAAUUCGUAGAUAUUCGCAAGAACACCAGUGGCGAAGGCGGCUCACUGGCCCGAUACUGACGCUGAGGCACGAAAGCGUGGGGAGCAAACAGG